AUUGAACGCUGGCGGAAGGCCUAACACAUGCAAGUCGAACGAGUGGCGGACGGGUGAGUAAUGUCUGGGAAACUGCCUGAUGGAGGGGGAUAACUACUGGAAACGGUAGCUAAUACCGCAUCACAUAAGAUGUGCCCAGAUGGGAUUCGCUAGUUGGUGGGUUAACGGCUCACCAAGGCGACGCUCCCUAGCUGGUCAGAGAGGAUGACCAGCCAUACUGGAACGGAGCAACGGUCCAGACUCCUACGGGAGGCAGCAGUGGGGAAUAUUGCACAAUGGGCGCAAGCCUGAUGCAGCCAUGCCGCGUGUAUGAAGAAGGCCUUCGGGUUGUAAAGUACUUUCCGCGGGGAGGCGUUACCCGCAGAAGAAGCACCGGCUAACUCCGUGCCAGCAGCCGCGGUAAUAC
rnacentral:rRNA from 1 species